rfam:Tupaia chinensis contig111583, whole genome shotgun sequence.
AUACUUACCUGGCAGGGGAGAUACCAAGACCACGAAGGUGGUUUUCCCAGUGUGAGGCUGAUCCAUUGCACUCUGGAUGUGCUGACCCUUGCAAUUUCCCCAAAUGUGGGAAACUCAACUGCAUAAGUUACAGUAGAGGAGGACUGCAUUCAUCAUCUCCCCUG